rnacentral:sRNA from 1 species
UCAGCUUGUAAAGGAGGCUGAAGCAGCAA